rnacentral:rRNA from 1 species
UACGGAGGGUGCAAGCGUUAUCCGGAUUUACUGGGCGUAAAGUGUGCGCAGGUGGCCGCGCAAGUCGAGUGUGAAAUCCCCGAGCUUAACUUGGGAAUUGCGCUCGAAACUACGUGGCUCGAGUGUGGCAGAGGAAGGUGGAAUUCCACGUGUAGCGGUGAAAUGCGUAGAGAUGUGGAGGAACACCGAUGGCGAAGGCAGCCUUCUGGGCCAACACUGACGCUCAUGCACGAAAGCGUGGGGAGCAAACAGG